UUGCACUGUAAUUAACACACACCAGAAGGAUGGUAAUUGAUAAUUCCCUGAGAAAGAAUCACGUCACUUUGCUGCCUUAUUCACUUUAGUUAAGAUUUUCUUCGUAUUAUAGCUACCCCCAGUGCUCCUCCAAUACAUCCCUCAAGCUAAAGGCCAGAUUCUGUUUACCUGCAGAUCAGAUGCAGAAGAAAUCCACUGACUCCCAGGGAGUUCUUCCAGAUCUGCUGCCGUGUAAGUGGGAUGCUGGUGUAGCCAUAAACACCAGUGUGUCACUAAUCAAAUCUCCCUGGUUUUUCUCCCCCCCGUGCAUUUCCCAGCUCUGCACAGCAAGCUGCAUUAUUGCAUUCUGUUCCUUCCCUGGCUGCAAACUCCUCGGAUUCCAACACAUACCUGAACGCUUCCCAUGCUAAAUUCCGAGCACAGCGGAGAGGAGCCUGUCCUGCGUGCCAUCCCCGAGCGGAGAUGUGCUCGCCAUGGAGAUGCUGUUAUCAGAGCCAGCUGUUCAAACACUGAUAAGAAGCCACGCGAGCAGAGGUCAAAGGCACACGGACCGCAGUUCCUCCCUCCUACCCCACAGCAAAAACAAGCAAGUCCCGCUGCGCUGCUCCAAGGGUGAAUCAGAGUUUCUGCGGCAGGGUCAGCAGCACACGGCGAUGGGAGGGAGGAUGGCCUCGCUGCUGGCAGGGAGAGGGGGCCGUGCGAGGGAGGAUGAGAGGAGCCAAUUUCUCGCGGACCUGCAGAGUUGAUUGCAAAGAGACGCGGAUCACAGAAUCAUUAAAGUUGGAAAAGACCUCAAGAUCACUGAUCCCAACCUCUGACCCCUUGUCAACUACACAGAGCACUGAGUGCCACAUCCAGUCAUUCCUUGGAGACCUCCAGGGAAGGAGAGUUCUCUGGACAGCCCAUUCCAAUGCUUGACCACCCUUUCAAUGAAGAAAUUCUUCCUGAUGUCCACCCUGAACCUCCCCUGGCACAGCUUGAGGCCUUUUCCUUCUGUCCAGGGGCUUGUACCUCUUCCCCUUCAUUUCCUGCAUCUCCCAUCCUCUGUUUCACAUGGCAUGUAAAUUAACUUCAGAUUCUCCUUGCCUUCUGUUGGGAAGGAUGAAGUAGAAAGGCCUUGUAAAUAUGAUGGUUUAGAUUCUGGGAGUAUGAGUUCAACAAUCGAGAUAGAAAUGAAAGCAAGCUUUGAGAUUUAGGGUGUGGGGUACAGGGCCAUCAGCUAGUGAAUAAUGGUGUGCCAAGCUGAGGGCCAGCUCCCUUGAUUAAACAAUAUACUCCUGCUAAGCUGAGGGCCAGCUCCCUUGAUUAAACAAUAUA